CCUACGGGAGGCAGCAGUGAGGAAUAUUGGUCAAUGGCCGGAAGGCCGAACCAGCCAUGCCGCGUGAAGGUCAGUGCCCUAUGGGCGUUAAACUUCUUUUGUGCGGGAGCAAUACUGGUCACGUGUGGCCAGACGAGAGUACCGUACGAAUAAGCAUCGGCUAACUCCGUGCCAGCAGCCGCGGUAAUACGGGGGAUGCAAGCGUUAUCCGGAUUUAUUGGGUUUAAAGGGGGCGUAGGCUGUGAGGUAAGUCAGCGGUGAAAUGCCCCCGCUCAACGGGGUGAAGUGCCAUUGAUACUGCCUUGCUGGAAUGCGGAUGCCGUGGGAGGAAUGUGUGGUGUAGCGGUGACAUGCAUAGAUAUCACACAGAACACCGAUUGCGAAGGCAUCUCACGAAUCCGCGAUUGACGCUGAUGCACGAAAGCGUGGGUAUCAAACAGGAUUAGAUACCCUGGUAGUC
rnacentral:rRNA from 1 species